rnacentral:rRNA from 1 species
GACGAACGCUGGCGGCGUGCUUAACACAUGCAAGUCGAACGGAAAGGCCCUGCUUGCAGGGUACUCGAGUGGCGAACGGGUGAGUAACACGUGGGUGAUCUGCCCUGCACUUCGGGAUAAGCCUGGGAAACUGGGUCUAAUGCCGGAUAGGAGCCAUUUUUAGUGUGAUGGUUGGAAAGUUUUUUCGGUGUAGGAUGAGCUCGCGGCCUAUCAGCUUGUUGGGGGGGUAAUGGCCUACCAAGGCGGCGACGGGUAGCCGGGCUGGGAGGGUGGACGGCCACAUUGGGACCGAGAUACGGCCCAGACUCCUACGGGGGGCAGCAGGGGGGAAUAUUGCACAAUGGGCGCAAGCCUGAUGCAGCGACGCCGCGGGGGGGAAGACGGCCUUCGGGUUGUAAACUCCUUUCGCUAGGGGCGAAGCUUUUUGUGACGGUACCUAGAUAAGAAGCACCGGCUAACUACGUG